rnacentral:rRNA from 1 species
GAAACAUCUUCGGGUUGUGAGGUUAAGCGACUAAGCGUACACGGUGGAUGCCCUGGCAGUCAGAGGCGAUGAAGGACGUGCUAAUCUGCGAUAAGCGUCGGUAAGGUGAUAUGAACCGUUAUAACCGGCGAUUUCCGAAUGGGGAAACCCAGUGUGAUUCGUCACACUAUCAUUAACUGAAUCCAUAGGUUAAUGAGGCGAACCGGGGGAACUGAAACAUCUAAGUACCCCGAGGAAAAGAAAUCAACCGAGAUUCCCCCAGUAGCGGCGAGCGAACGGGGAGCAGCCCAGAGCCUGAAUCAGUGUGUGUGUUAGUGGAAGCGUCUGGAAAGGCGCGCGAUACAGGGUGACAGCCCCGUACACAAAAAUGCACAUACUGUGAGCUCGAUGAGUAGGGCGGGACACGUGGUAUCCUGUCUGAAUAUGGGGGGACCAUCCUCCAAGGCUAAAUACUCCUGACUGACCGAUAGUGAACCAGUACCGUGAGGGAAAGGCGAAAAGAACCCCGGCGAGGGGAGUGAAAAAGAACCUGAAACCGUGUACGUACAAGCAGUGGGAGCACGCUUAGGCGUGUGACUGCGUACCUUUUGUAUAAUGGGUCAGCGACUUAUAUUCUGUAGCAAGGUUAACCGAAUAGGGGAGCCGAAGGGAAACCGAGUCUUAACUGGGCGUUAAGUUGCAGGGUAUAGACCCGAAACCCGGUGAUCUAGCCAUGGGCAGGUUGAAGGUUGGGUAACACUAACUGGAGGACCGAACCGACUAAUGUUGAAAAAUUAGCGGAUGACUUGUGGCUGGGGGUGAAAGGCCAAUCAAACCGGGAGAUAGCUGGUUCUCCCCGAAAGCUAUUUAGGUAGCGCCUCGUGAAUUCAUCUCCGGGGGUAGAGCACUGUUUCGGCAAGGGGGUCAUCCCGACUUACCAACCCGAUGCAAACUGCGAAUACCGGAGAAUGUUAUCACGGGAGACACACGGCGGGUGCUAACGUCCGUCGUGAAGAGGGAAACAACCCAGACCGCCAGCUAAGGUCCCAAAGUCAUGGUUAAGUGGGAAACGAUGUGGGAAGGCCCAGACAGCCAGGAUGUUGGCUUAGAAGCAGCCAUCAUUUAAAGAAAGCGUAAUAGCUCACUGGUCGAGUCGGCCUGCGCGGAAGAUGUAACGGGGCUAAACCAUGCACCGAAGCUGCGGCAGCGACGCUGAUGCGUUGUUGGGUAGGGGAGCGUUCUGUAAGCCUGUGAAGGUGUGCUGUGAGGCAUGCUGGAGGUAUCAGAAGUGCGAAUGCUGACAUAAGUAACGAUAAAGCGGGUGAAAAGCCCGCUCGCCGGAAGACCAAGGGUUCCUGUCCAACGUUAAUCGGGGCAGGGUGAGUCGACCCCUAAGGCGAGGCCGAAAGGCGUAGUCGAUGGGAAACAGGUUAAUAUUCCUGUACUUGGUGUUACUGCGAAGGGGGGACGGAGAAGGCUAUGUUGGCCGGGCGACGGUUGUCCCGGUUUAAGCGUGUAGGCUGGUUUUCCAGGCAAAUCCGGAAAAUCAAGGCUGAGGCGUGAUGACGAGGCACUACGGUGCUGAAGCAACAAAUGCCCUGCUUCCAGGAAAAGCCUCUAAGCAUCAGGUAACAUCAAAUCGUACCCCAAACCGACACAGGUGGUCAGGUAGAGAAUACCAAGGCGCUUGAGAGAACUCGGGUGAAGGAACUAGGCAAAAUGGUGCCGUAACUUCGGGAGAAGGCACGCUGAUAUGUAGGUGAAGCGACUUGCUCGUGGAGCUGAAAUCAGUCGAAGAUACCAGCUGGCUGCAACUGUUUAUUAAAAACACAGCACUGUGCAAACACGAAAGUGGACGUAUACGGUGUGACGCCUGCCCGGUGCCGGAAGGUUAAUUGAUGGGGUCAGCGCAAGCGAAGCUCUUGAUCGAAGCCCCGGUAAACGGCGGCCGUAACUAUAACGGUCCUAAGGUAGCGAAAUUCCUUGUCGGGUAAGUUCCGACCUGCACGAAUGGCGUAAUGAUGGCCAGGCUGUCUCCACCCGAGACUCAGUGAAAUUGAACUCGCUGUGAAGAUGCAGUGUACCCGCGGCAAGACGGAAAGACCCCGUGAACCUUUACUAUAGCUUGACACUGAACAUUGAGCCUUGAUGUGUAGGAUAGGUGGGAGGCUUUGAAGUGUGGACGCCAGUCUGCAUGGAGCCGACCUUGAAAUACCACCCUUUAAUGUUUGAUGUUCUAACGUUGACCCGUAAUCCGGGUUGCGGACAGUGUCUGGUGGGUAGUUUGACUGGGGCGGUCUCCUCCUAAAGAGUAACGGAGGAGCACGAAGGUUGGCUAAUCCUGGUCGGACAUCAGGAGGUUAGUGCAAUGGCAUAAGCCAGCUUGACUGCGAGCGUGACGGCGCGAGCAGGUGCGAAAGCAGGUCAUAGUGAUCCGGUGGUUCUGAAUGGAAGGGCCAUCGCUCAACGGAUAAAAGGUACUCCGGGGAUAACAGGCUGAUACCGCCCAAGAGUUCAUAUCGACGGCGGUGUUUGGCACCUCGAUGUCGGCUCAUCACAUCCUGGGGCUGAAGUAGGUCCCAAGGGUAUGGCUGUUCGCCAUUUAAAGUGGUACGCGAGCUGGGUUUAGAACGUCGUGAGACAGUUCGGUCCCUAUCUGCCGUGGGCGCUGGAGAACUGAGGGGGGCUGCUCCUAGUACGAGAGGACCGGAGUGGACGCAUCACUGGUGUUCGGGUUGUCAUGCCAAUGGCACUGCCCGGUAGCUAAAUGCGGAAGAGAUAAGUGCUGAAAGCAUCUAAGCACGAAACUUGCCCCGAGAUGAGUUCUCCCUGACUCCUUGAGAGUCCUGAAGGAACGUUGAAGACGACGACGUUGAUAGGCCGGGUGUGUAAGCGCAGCGAUGCGUUGAGCUAACCGGUACUAAUGAACCGUGAGGCUUAACCUU